GACGAACGCUGGCGGCGUGCCUAAUACAUGCAAGUUGAGCGAUGAAGAUUGGUGCUUGCACCAAUUUGAAGAGCAGCGAACGGGUGAGUAACGCGUGGGGAAUCUGCCUUUGAGCGGGGGACAACAUUUGGAAACGAAUGCUAAUACCGCAUAAUAACUUUAAACAUAAGUUUUAAGUUUGAAAGAUGCAAUUGCAUCACUCAAAGAUGAUCCCGCGUUGUAUUAGCUAGUUGGUGAGGUAAAGGCUCACCAAGGCGAGGAUACAUAGCCGACCUGAGAGGGUGAUCAGCCACAUUGGGACUGAGACACGGCCCAAUCGCCUACGGGAGGCGGCAGUAGUGAUUCUUCGGCCAUGGACGAAAGUCUGACCGAGCAACGCCGCGUGAGUGAAGAAGGUUGUCGGGUCGUAAAACUCUGUUUGUAGGGAAGAACGUUGGUGAGAGUGGAAAGCUCAUCAAGUGACGGUAACUACCCAGAAAGGGACGGCUAACUACGUG
rnacentral:rRNA from 1 species